GCAGACACAUUCCAGCCAAUCAGCAGCAGACCCUCCCUCCCAGACCCUCCCACCUCCUGGACAGCAUCCAUUGUGAAGCUGCAUUCUUAGUGAGCUGUCCAGGAGGUGGGAGAGUCUGGGAGGGAGGGUCUGCUGCUGAUUGGCUGGAAUGUGUUUG